rnacentral:sRNA from 2 species
CCCGAUAUGGGUAUUGUGGACUUUUGUCGCGAACUUGAGGCUAGUCAGGGUUUCAUUUAGAUGUUCCUGCCUUGGGCUGACCAUGACGAACAUCAAGGUUUUGGAGUUACCCCCCAGUGAAAAUUGAAGCAGAUAUGUAAGCUUCGUGGCGAUAAUUAGCUCGAUACGACCAGUAGAGUGAAACGGUUGGCUAACGUACCUUGCUGUUCCUGUACGGAAUAUGUCCACCUUCUUUUCCUUGCCCAAGGGCCCCGAUUACAUCGCCCAAGCAACUGAGGCUACGGUUUAUGCUUUGAGUUUCCUUCAACCGCUCACCAGUGGCUUUGGAAUGGCUCAGCCGCUCACUGCCAGCAAGAUCAACUAAGUUAAGUGUACCCUCACUCUUUUCUCCCGUGAAGCGGUUUUCUCCAAUUAAUUUUAAGAUGAAAACGGAAUGUGAUCGAGAAGAUCGUUCGUUUGCUUUGGUUGCAGCAACUGAGCGAUUCAUGGCAGCACGUCGUAAAAUCGACUCGACGCGUGCUGGAGAAUCCAAGUUGACUGUUGUAAUGUCCGUAAUAGUUGUUUUGCAUUUUUGCAUGUCAUGGCGAAUCUCAUGUUUUUUCUUGUCGAAUUCUUCCGCUUUACCUAGUAGGUCGUUCAAAUUUUCAUUGUAAACCUCUACGAAGUUUCCUUGCAUGGUAUAAUGCCAUCCCUUUUCUUCAAGCGCACUUGCGGUAUCAUAUAUUUGGUGAACAGCGCAGGGGAUCAUACCAUCUUCAGACGACAUCGUACCUCGGUGUUUUGAGAUGACGGGCCAAAUACAUGGUCAAAAGAAUAAGCAUAGGUUUUGGUUGUGAUGCUCCCAAGACUGCUCUUCUCCUCUGGGCCAAGGACGGAAAUUUCCUUGCAGUCAGCUUCUGAAUCUGGGAAUUCGAUUCUUGCAGAAUCCUCGACGGGUUCAUUAUUAAGUAAGGGACGAACGCGACAGAAAACCCGAAUAUUUCCCUUCAGUUCCUGUACUUGAUUAUGGAGCUUUCGUCGCAAUGUCUCUUCUUUGCGCAGCUUGUCUUUUGUUGCUUGCGUUUCUGCUAGCGCAUCUCGGAGUUGCUGAUCAAGGCGGGCAAACGCAUCAGACUGUUCUUUGUUACCAGACUCAAGAAAUUCAAUCCUUGCCUUCAGUGCGCUGACGGAAGACUCCAGAGUCAUCGUGUUACUGGCAUUCUUAACCAUGUUGUGCUGGAGCUCCUUGUUGAGUGUGCGUUCACGAUCUAAAUCACUCAUCAAUUGAUUCACCUCGGCCUGAAUGUCCCUG